UCAGUCUUAGCAGGGUGUAAAAAUAUCAGCUAGAAGAGCUAUGGAAAGAACAAGAGGAGGUGCAACACCUGGUUUGUUCAACAGAGCCUCUAAGAAAUAAGCCUUUGACAGCAUAAGCUGGCCAUUCAGGUCUAUAAUCUAAAUUGACAACACGGAUUGCUGUUACAAAAGAGAAAACUGAAACCAUGUUUUCCCAGAUUGUGCGGCUUAAUCUGGUUGGAGGAGAUCCCAUUUCCAGAGUGACAGUAGACAGCUCCCCAUCUGCCCCCUGCAGCACCUCUCACUUACAGGUCACCAGCCUGGAUUUGGGCAAGAGAGGCUUACUCAGCGUCGUGAGGCUUCCCAAAGCUUGAAAGAGCAGUGACCUAGAGGACAGCCCCCAGCCUGCAGGCUCAGAAGAGGAUGUGGGGGCAGGAAGGCCUCAACUUCAUUCUGUCUUUGGCAGAGCAUCAUGUUUGGAGGGGAGAGCUACAAGGGCACAAAUCUGUGUGAAGUUCAGGAGGUUUCCCAUAACUCCAGCCCAGCCCACAUGCCCUCCUGAAAAGAGCCAGCCAUGACAGAGAAAAGAGAGUAUUUUGACACUGCUCACUUGCAUUAUAAAACCACAAAAAAAGAGAUGACUAAUACAGCCAGUCAAAUCUGAUAAUGCAGGACACAGGAGGAUAGAAAUAAAUAACUCUCAGCACUGGGAAGGUGUGGCAACCCUUUAUACCCUGUCUGACAGGGUGGAGGGAAUAGAUUUUCAUAAUUCAUGAUAAAUUGCACUAAUCUGAACCUAAAUCCCAUCAACACUGACAGAGGAAAUGUGGGUGAAUUUUUGAGUAAGAGACAUAAAUGCUCUUUGCAUUGCUCCAGUCAGUGGGAAAUGCUUGACCAAUGCUCUGCUGGUGGUGGACUGGACUGGACAUAUAAACACAGGCAUUAGAGGGAACCAACUCACAAGCAAACAACAGGAACAAAUCAAACCUGCUCUACAAGGAUUUUGUUACUCUAAUA